rnacentral:rRNA from 1 species
GAUGAACGCUGGCGGCGUGCCUAAUACAUGCAAGUCGAGCGGACGGACGCUAAGCUUGCUUCGCUGAUGUUAGCGGCAGACGGGUGUGUAACACGUGUAUACCCUCCCUAUAAGUCGGGGAAAACUUCGGGAAACGGGCUAUAAUACGGGAGAAUCUUCUGCACCGCAUGGUUCAAAAGUGAAAGACGGUGUUUCGGGCACUUAUAGAUGCUUCCGCGCUGCAUGAGCUAGUUGUUGAGGUAACGGCUUACCAAGGCAACGAUGCAUAGCCGACGGGAGAGAGGGAUCGGCCACACUGGAGGUGAGACACGGUCCAGACUCCUACGGGAGGCAGCAGUAGGGAAUGUUACGCAAUGGGCGAGAGCAUGACGGAGCAACGCCGCGUGAGUGAUGGAGGUCUUCGGUUCGUAAAACUCUGUUAUUAGGGGAGAACAGAUGUGUAAGUUGCUGAGCACUUCUUGACGGUACCUAAUCAGAAAGCCACGGCUAACUACGUG